rnacentral:rRNA from 1 species
UACGUAGGGCGCAAGCGUUGUCCGGAAUUAUUGGGCGUAAAGGGCUCGUAGGCGGCCAACUAAGUCGGAUGUGAAAUCCCCAGGCUCAACUUGGGAACUGCAUCCGAUACUGGAUGGCUUGAAUUCGGGAGAGGGAUGCAGAAUUCCAGGUGUAGCGGUGAAAUGCGUAGAUAUCUGGAGGAAUACCGGUGGCGAAGGCGGCAUCCUGGACCGACAUUGACGCUGAGGAGCGAAAGCUAGGGGAGCAAACGGG